CAAUAGCGUAUAUUAAUGUUGUUGCAGUUAAAAAGCUCGUAGUUGGAUUUCGAAUGGGAGCGGUGGGUCGGGUCCGCAAGGGCUCGUUACCUGUUUCGUCUCCGGUUCUUUUUCGGGAUUGUUUCUGGCGUGGCUGGCAUUGCGUUGUCGGUGGCGUCGGGCCCGUCGUUUACUGUGAACAAAUUAGAGUGUUCAAAGCAAGGUGUGUCUUGAAUACAUUAGCAUGGAAUAAUGAGAUAGGACUUUGGUGGUUUCGGUGAAAGCCGGAUAUUUUGUUGGUUUGCACGCCAAAGUAAUGAUUAAUAGGAGCAGUUGGGGGUAUUCGUAUUCAAUUGUCAGAGGUGAAAUUCUUGGAUUUCUAGAAGACGAACUACUGCGAAAGCAUUUACCAGGGAUGUUUUCAUUAA
rnacentral:rRNA from 1 species